rnacentral:rRNA from 1 species
UCUGUAGCUAUACAGAUGGCGCACGGCGCACGGGUGCGUAACACGUGGGUAAUCUGCCCUUCGAUGGGGAAUAACUCGCCGAAAGGCGAGCUAAUUCCGCAUAACAUUCCUUGAACCUCGGUUUGGGGACUCAAAGCCGUAAGGCGUCGGAGGAGGAACCCGCGCACGAUUAGCUAGUUGGUAGGGUAACGGCCUACCAAGGCUUUGAUCGUUAGCUGGUCUGAGAGGAUGGCCAGCCACACUGGAACUGAGACACGGUCCAGACUCCUACGGGAGGCAGCAGUGGGGAAUCUUGCACAAUGGGCGAAAGCCUGAUGCAGCGACGCCGCGUGGGGGAUGAAGCUUUUCGGAGUGUAAACCCCUUUCGACCCGGACGAAUGCCCCGCAAGGGGACUGACGGUACGGGUAUAAGAAGCCCCGGCUAACUACGUGCCAGCAGCCGCGGUAAGACGUGGGGGGCCAGCGUUGCUCGGAAUUACUGGGUGUAAAGGGUUCGUAGGCGGUGUAGCAAGUCGGGAGUGAAAUCUCUGGGCUCAACCCAGAGACUGCUUCCGAAACUGCUGUGCUUGAGUGUGGGAGAGGCGCGUGGAAUUGCAGGUGUAGCGGUGAAAUGCGUAGAUAUCUGCAGGAACACCCGUGGCGAAAGCGGCGCGCUGGACCACUACUGACGCUGAGGAACGAAAGCUAGGGGAGCAAACAGGAUUAGAUACCCUGGUAGUCCUAGCCCUAAACGAUCAGGACUUGGGGUGCCGCACGUUCGUGCGUCGUCCCGGAGCUAACGCGUUAAGUCCUGCACCUGGGGAGUACGGUCGCAAGACUG